rnacentral:lncRNA from 10 species
UUCCACUCUCUGAAAUGAAAAAUUUAUUUGGACUUUCUUAAGAGAGAUUGAACAUUACAGAAGAAAGAAUGAGUGAACUUGAAAAGAGAUCAAUAGAUAUCAUUCCAUCUGAAGUGCAAGGGAAAAUGAAACUGAAAGAAAACAAGGAAGCGAGUCUCCGUGACACGUGGUACAAUAUCAUGCAGUACACACGGAACCAGAACCAAGAAGAAAUGGCUGGAAAAGAUGAAAGAAAAAAAAAGUUGAUAUAGUCUCAAAUGUAGUGAAAAAACAUCAACUUAUAGAUUCAAAAAGUUCAUAAACCCCUCAUAAAAAUAAAUGUAAAGAAAACCCUACCUGGACACAUCAUAGUCAUCAUACAGAGCAAAUUUUGUGCAUUCACAGGUAACAAAGAUAUGAACGACAGCUGACUCAAAACAAUGGAGGCUCAGGAUGUGUGAAAUGGUGAAAGAAAGCUGUUGACUCACUAUUCACACUCAUUGAGAAUAUCCUUUAAAAAUAGUAAGUGAAGACGUUGUGGCAGGUUGAACUUUCCAAAUUUCACCACAACAACAAAUGUAACCAGAAUAAACAAUCCAAUUAAAAAGCAGAGUUUCCCCAACUAGGAAAAAAAAAAGCAAGCUGAAAUUAUUAACUGUCUAAAAUAUAUGCACCUUAAAUAUAAAGCUUCAGAUAGAUUGAAAGUAAAAGAUGGAGGCCGGGCAUGGUGGCUCAUGCCUGUAAUCUCAGCACUUUGGGAGGCCGAGGUUGGCGGAUCACUUGAGGUCAGGAGUUCAAGACCAGCCUGGUCAACAUGGUAAAACCUCAUCUCUGCUGAAAAUACAAAAAUUAGCUGGGCAUGGUGGCAGGUGCCUGUAAUCCCAGCUACUCGGGAGGCUGAGGCAGGAGAAUCAUUUGAACCCGGUAGGCGGAGGAGGCCGUAAAAGCCUCUUAGAGGCCAGACCCCGCAGUGGCCUCUGUGUCCUUCAUUCCGCCACCCAUCCGUCCACCGAGCGCCUGCUGGGUGCCAGGAACUGGGUCACAGAAAGGCUGAGGUCAACUCCCGACCGAGAAGCCUGGCGCUGGGACCAAGUGGCAAAACGACUCCGAAUGCAGCGGCAUCCACGCGGCGGCCGUGGUUGAGGA